GACGAACGCUGGCGGCGUGCUUAACACAUGCAAGUCGAACGGAAAGGCCCUGCUGUUGUGGGGUGCUCGAGUGGCGAACGGGUGAGUAACACGUGAGUAACCUGCCCUUGACUUUGGGAUAACUUCAGGAAACUGGGGCUAAUACCGGAUAGGAGCUCCUGAUGCAUGGUGGGGGUUGGAAAGUUUCGGCGGUUGGGGAUGGACUCGCGGCUUAUCAGCUUGUUGGUGGGGUAGUGGCUUACCAAGGCUUUGACGGGUAGCCGGCCUGAGAGGGUGACCGGCCACAUUGGGACUGAGAUACGGCCCAGACUCCUACGGGAGGCAGCAGUGGGGAAUCUUGCACAAUGGGCGGAAGCCUGAUGCAGCAACGCCGCGUGCGGGAUGACGGCCUUCGGGUUGUAAACCGCUUUCGCCUGUGACGAAGCGUGAGUGACGGUAAUGGGUAAAGAAGCACCGGCUAACUACGUG
rnacentral:rRNA from 1 species